CAGUCGAGGGGUAUAGUUCUUCGGAAUUAGAGACCGGCGCACGGGUGCGUAACGCGUAUGCAAUCUACCUUUCACAGAGGGAUAGCCCAGAGAAAUUUGGAUUAAUACCUCAUAGUAUAGUGAUACCGCAUGGUAGUACUAUUAAAGUCACAACGGUGAAAGAUGAGCAUGCGCCCCAUUAGCUUGUUGGUAAGGUAACGGCUUACCAAGGCUACGAUGGGUAGGGGUCCUGAGAGGGAGAUCCCCCACACUGGUACUGAGACACGGACCAGACUCCUACGGGAGGCAGCAGUGAGGAAUAUUGGACAAUGGGCGCAAGCCUGAUCCAGCCAUGCCGCGUGCAGGAUGACGGUCCUAUGGAUUGUAAACUGCUUUUGCACAGGAAGAAACAACUCUACGUGUAGAGUCUUGACGGUACUGUGAGAAUAAGGAUCGGCUAACUCCGUGCCAGCAGCCGCGGUAAUACGGAGGAUCCAAGCGUUAUCCGGAAUCAUUGGGUUUAAAGGGUCCGUAGGCGGUUUGGUAAGUCAGUGGUGAAAGCCCAUCGCUCAACGGUGGAACGGCCAUUGAUACUGCCAGACUUGAAUUAUUAGGAAGUAACUAGAAUAUGUAGUGUAGCGGUGAAAUGCUUAGAGAUUACAUGGAAUACCAAUUGCGAAGGCAGGUUACUACUAAUGGAUUGACGCUGAUGGACGAAAGCGUGGGUAGCGAACAGGAUUAGAUACCCUGGUAGUCCACGCCGUANACGAUGGAUACUAGCUGUUGGGAGCGAUCUCAGUGGCUAAGCGAAAGUGAUAAGUAUCCCACCUGGGGAGUACGUUCGCAAGAAUGAAAACUCAAGGAAUUGACGGGGGGC
rnacentral:rRNA from 1 species